UUCGGCUGAGGGGAAGGAGGCACGCGACUGAGUGACAAUGGGUGUGAACCGACCUUUCUCUGUCAGCCUGCAGUGGGUCUGCCACCCUCUCAGGGAGAGCUCAAUGGCUGGAACGCACUGCAAGACAGAAGAAGAAUUGGAGUGGGGGCUGAUUUUGUCAUCACCAGUGAGUCCUCAGGGCUGUGGGUCUGUCGAGGCCCGGCAGCUGGCCGGGUGAGACAAGAAGCAGAAGUGAGAACAGACCGAAGUUUUCCACGGGAUAGAAGAGAGUAUCUUUGAGCAUGUCUUAUCUGAUCCUUUUUCUAAAAUGAACUUUUACCAAAGAAGUAUGUUCUGGCUCAAGAAACUCAGACCGCUUCCUAAAAACAGAGCUUGAGGAAAAAUACAAGGGAAAUCUACUGCAUUGCUCAGGGAAGUCACCGUAUUCCUACAAAAGGCUGAAUCAUCAGUUUUCCAGUAUUAUCUUUUUAGGUCACCGCAGCUCACUAAGAUAGCACCAACGUAAAUAAUCAACAGAAAAAUGCCAUAAAUGUCUCGGAAAUUGAGGUGACCUUGGAGCUGGUUCAUUACUAACCUGAUACCAUAUCAGAGGCCUUAACUUGCCAAGGGCAUCAUCUCGUCCUUUGCCAAAUCUGAGACUUAGAUGGCAGCACACCAAGAAUCUUGUUUAAUUCCUCAUUUUAAGUUUAAUUCAUGAAGGCACAAAAAGCAGUAUUGAUUUCUCAUGGAUGGUACAGAUGUCAGAGAUAAUGUACCAAGGCUAUAUGUGCUCCAGGUAAAGGACUGUGGGGAGCCUAACAAGAGAGAUUUGGUGGGAUUAAGAGAAGAGACACAAAAUUUAUCCAGGCUCUCAAAAGCCAAGAAUGGAGGGGCCAGGCCGGUGGCGCAGCGGUAAAGUUCAUACGUUCUGCUUCUCGGCAGCCUGGGGUUUGCCGGUUCGGAUCCCGGUGUGGACAUGGCACCGCUUGGCAAAAGCCAUACUGUGUGAAGAAGAUGCAAAGAGGUCUAUGUGUAAAGCAUAACCAGCCUUCCACACAUCUGGAAUGCUUCCACGAUCUGUCUGCACGCAGCUGCUGGAGGAGGACCAACGUACCCUGGCUCUGCAGUCUCAUGGCAUCACGGCACGUAGCAGAACCUUUCCCUGGAGAAGCGCUGCGUUGUCCCUGCUGCAGCCACAGCUUCAUUCCAUUCAGCUGACGGAGAUUUGUCCAAGAUUGGGGCAUCCUUCUCUUCAUGCUACUCACCAGGCUGAUAUAGACUGGGGACGUGACACCUGGAUCACUCGGGGAGUCAGACCUCUAUUGUAGUUGCACAUCCACUCAGCCUCCAUCUCCCUUCCCCUCCCCAGUUUCCUUGUGUGUGUGUCCAAAUUAGGCAGCCAAAUUGCAAGUCUGAAUUAUGCCAUCUUCCUGGUCGCCAGUGUCACCCUCCUGUCUGACACUUGCUUGCUGGCUCUUUUUAUCAGUUUGUUUUGGUCAGGGUCAUUUCUCAGAGGUUGGGCCAAAAUGACCAGCAUAAUUAGGAAAUCCUUGCAUUUUUCACAAAAAGUCUUGACUCAAUUGAACCUUCUCCUGUAGGCUUGGUUGUUGAGGUCAGAAUUUAAUGGUGUCCUUUACAAGGCGUCUUGAGUAGACAUAAUAAUGUUAUAGGUGUUUAGAUGCUAUCAUGGUCAAAAUAGAAUCUAAAACAAUACAACUCUACUACUCUAUUCAUCCUUUGCAUCGGUAUUACAUGGAGAUCCAAGUGUAGUGAGUCUUAUUUUUAUUUAAAGUUUUACAGGAUGUGAAAAUUCUGCACAUCUGAAUUUGAAAUUAUCUUAAUCCUCUCUAACUUAUACGGAACUGUCUACCUCUCCCUUUGGUCAAUAUAGUAAUUCUUUAGAAAUAAUAAAGAAGGAAAGAGGUUUUGUAAAUUGUUGAAACAUGUGAGCAGUAUGUCUCAUAUUUGCUACAAAAAGCAGAUGUUUGUGAUCUAUAGUAGUGGGCCAAACACUAAUGAGAUGUUUAAGUCUCGUCUUGGUUUCUUUCUCUAAAAUUGGGCAAAAUAAUAAUUCCGUACGUUUCUUGUUCUCCAAACUGCAUAUUUUUAAUUUACUCUGACUUUUAUUCUCUCCCUCGAUUUUCUUCAG
ensembl:lncRNA